rnacentral:tRNA from 1 species
CGCAGGUUGGUGCAACGGAAAGCACACCGGGCUCAUUACCCGGAGAUGCGGGUUCGAGUCCCGCGCCUGCACCCA